rnacentral:rRNA from 1 species
GACGAACUGUCCUAACGUUGUUCGGAAUCACUGGGCUUAAAGGGCGCGUAGGCGGUCCAACAAGUCAGGGGUGAAAUCCCCGGGCUUAACCUGGGAACUGCAUUUGUGACUGCAUGGCUGGAGUGCGGCAGAGGGGGAUGGAAUUCCGCGUGUAGCAGUGAAAUGCGUAGAUAUGCGGAGGAACACCGAUGGCGAAGGCAAGCCCCUGGGCAUGCACUGACGCUCAUGCACGAAAGCGUGGGGAGCAAACAGG